GGGCCCGUAGUCGAAUGGUUAAGACGUCCGCCUGACACGCGGGAGACUCCCGGUUCGAUCCCGGGCGGGCCCAC
rnacentral:tRNA from 1 species